CGAAGGUUCGAAUCCUUCCCCCACCACCAUUAUUCACUACAGCGAUGUAGUUAACUCGAUGAGCAAUGCAGAAGUUUGCACUUAUCGGGGAAGGGUGAGAACCUUCGAUUAAGGUUCGACUCGAGCGAAAGCGAGAGAACGUUGCCAACGGCAACGGCCCGUAGGGUGAGGAGCGAAGUGACAAAUAAUCCUUCCCCCACCACCAUCUUCAAGCUUUACCUACAAUUUGAAUUACCCCUG
rnacentral:tRNA from 1 species